rnacentral:misc_RNA from 1 species
GAUGAAGAACGCAGCGAAAUGCGAUAAGUAAUGUGAAUUGCAGAAUUCAGUGAAUCAUCGAAUCUUUGAACGCACAUUGCGCCCCCUGGUAUUCCGGGGGGCAUGCCUGUCCGAGCGUCAUUGCUGCCCUCAAGCACGGCUUGUGUGUUGGGCCUCCGUCCUCCUCCCGGGGGACGGGCCUGAAAGGCAGCGGCGGCACCGCGUCCGGUCCUCGAGCGUAUGGGGCUUCGUCACCCGCUCUUGUAGGCCCGGCCGGCGCUUGCCGACACAUCAAUCUUUUUUCCAGGUUGACCUCGGAUCAGGUAGGGAUACCCGCUGAACUUAAGCAUAUCAAUAAGCGGAGGA